UGAGUCCUACGGGGCGCAGCAGUGGGGAAUAUUGCGCAACGGGCGCAAGCCUGAACGAGCGAUGCCGCGUGAGUGAAGAAGGCUUUCGGGUCGUAAAGCUCUGUUGCGGGGGAAAAAAGGCAGCAUCAGGAAAUGGGUGCUGACUGAUGGUGCCCCGCCAGAAAGUCACGGCUAACUACGUGCCAGCAGCCGCGGUAAUACGUAGGUGGCGAGCGUUAUCCGGAAUGAUUGGGCGUAAAGGGUGCGCAGGCGGUCCUGCAAGUCUGGAGUGAAACGCAUGAGCUCAACUCAUGCAUGGCUUUGGA
rnacentral:rRNA from 1 species